AGCUUAUGAGGAUAGAUUCAUUAAUACGGGCUUCAAAGAUUGGAAAUUUUUUUCUGAGGGUUGUGGCAAACAUGAAGCCAGCAGGGCACAUGCUGCAGCGUUGGGGAAAAUGGAUGGUUUCAAGCAAAGUCACCAGCCAGGACGGGGAAAUAUUAUUAACCAGCUGAACAACGAUGCCAGCGACAAGUCCUUAAUUGAUAGACAUAGACAGCACAUCAUGAUGGUUAUAACUUGUAACUUCUUCAGCUGUGUCAGAUUCAAUGCUGCUGUUAUUUCAUGUCGAUACAGUUCUUCUUGUCAUUCUGAAUUUAUAAGAAACAAUUAAAUAAUUUUGGACAGUUCCCUGCCCGCCGUGUUGUGUAAAUAAAUGGAGAGAGAAACAGAACCUCCAAAGAUAUAA